GGGAUGGCAGAGAAGUCCCGCAUCCAAAGCACCGUGGCCUGGGAACUCUGCAGGCAUGCCGGCUUUGUUGCUGUGAGUCUAAACAGUUCUGCAAGGCCAUCAUCCAAUUGGCUGAGCUCCAAGCCUGCUCAAAGCUUAAAAAAUGCACAGGAUCGGCUGGGUGCAGUGGCUCACACCUGUAAUCCCAGCACUUUGGGAGGUCGAGGCAGGCAGAUCAUGAGGUCAAGAGAUCAAGACCAGCCUGAUCAACAUGGUGAAACCCCGUCUUUACUAAAAAUACAAAAAUUAGCUGGGCACGGUGGCACGUGCUUAUAGACCCAGCUACUCGGGAGGCCAAGGCAGGAGAAUUGCUUGAACCCGGGAGGUGGAGGUUUCAGUGAGCCGAGAUUGCGCCACUGCACUCCAGCCUGGCAACAGAGCGAGACUCCAUCAAAAAAAAAAAUGCACAGGAUCCUCCUCCACCAGUAUAGCCAUCAAUGUCCUGGCAGUAGUAACCUGCACAUCAGUUCUGGGAUUAGGCAGGACACUACUCAGUAUGCCACUGUGUGUCCUUCAAAAUCCUGACCAUGGGCCCGUGGAACUUUUGGUGGCCCUGUGGUCUAGAGAUGGUCUCCCAAAUUCAUCAGUUCUUGAGUUACAGGUACUCUGGAUAAGGAUAGACAGCAAUAAUCCUAAUGGAGAGGGCCCUCUCCAUGCCUGUGACCAUCACACCAUCAUGGUAUAGGAGGAAGUAUCCUAAGAUGUCACGCUUCAUGCCCCAUACUGGACCUUUCCACCUGGUGCCUGGUGAAAUGCAUCAAUUACAUUGUAGAGAACGCUGUGCUUCCUGACCACUAGGAAACACAGGACAUCACCUUCCUUUAUUCUGCAAAAUUUGCACAGAGUUCACUACAUUCCCAUGUCUAAAACACACUGACGCACAUCAGCCAUGGCCUCCAUUCCUUGUACCUUCUAAAUCAACCACUGUAUAAGCAAAUGGCUAGGACCUUAACUGCUUACAUCUAAGGGAUGCAGAUCAGAAUCAUCUGAGAAGCUUUUAGGCCAGGCAUGGUGGCUCAUACUUGUAAUCCCAGCACUUUGGGAGGCUGAAGCAGGCAGAUCACUUAAGAUCAGGAGUUCAAGACCAGCCUGGCCAACAUGGUGAAACCCCGUCUCUACAAAAAAAAAAAAAAAAAAAAA
rnacentral:lncRNA from 1 species